rnacentral:rRNA from 1 species
UACGUAGGGGGCAAGCGUUGUCCGGAUUUACUGGGCGUAAAGAGCGCGCAGGCGGUCGAUCAAGUCGCGUGUGAAAGCCCCCGGCUCAACUGGGGAGGGUCACGCGAUACUGAUCGACUCGAAGGCAGGAGAGGGUAGUGGAAUUCCCGGUGUAGUGGUGAAAUGCGUAGAUAUCGGGGGGAACACCAGUGGCGAAGGCGACUACCUGGCCUGUUUCUUGACGCUGAGGCGCGAAAGCUAGGGGAGCAAACGGG